CACAACACAUCAAACAAUUCCAAAUCAGUAACAUGCCAACAGUGAAUUAAACAGCACAUAACCAAAUACAUCAAAUUCCAAAUCAAAUCAAAUCAAAUACAUCAAAUUCUAAGCCGAAUCUGCUCACAACGACCUGUCUCAAUAAGCUAUUUCUCCUUCCCUAUAGAAGCUCCAUAACUAUUUUGCUAACAAAGUGUGAUUAAACAAGCCAAUAUACCUCUUGAUUUAUUAGAUCUAUUAAACAUCUGGGAUCCAGAUCCUCUAUAUUUCUCUGUGAGGAUCUUGUAAGGAUUUUAUUAUGGGAUUGACAACACAUUAAAAAGGAGAUCUAAUGGCUCACAACUCUCUUUUUUGUCUGUGUAUCAAAACGACGUCGUUUGGUGGCUUUUAAUUUUUUUGUCAACUUGUAAAAAAAAUUCCUAUCAAAACGACGUUGUUUUGAUACACAGACAAAAAAAAGAGAGUUGUGAGCCAUUAGAUCUUUUUUUGAUGUGUUGUCAACCCCACAGCAAAACCCUCACAAGAUCCUCAUAGAGAAAUCCUCGUAGAGGAUCCUGAUUCAAACAUCUGAUUGUUAAAGUUAUGUUUGAUGUCAGGAAAUCAACAUGUUUCUAUGCUUACAUUAUAAUUAUCCUUCUCAAAUUACAGAAUGUCAUGGGAAUGUCGGCAGAGCAAAGAAAGGUUCUCAGUAAAGUAUCUACCUAUAGAGGGUUUUGGUGGCUUGGCUUCUCGGCUUUACAUCUACAAGUCCACAGAGACCCGCCAUCGCCUGCCUUCUCACACAUGUUUCUACCGGUUGUUUUUCCCUCCUUAUCUGUUAUUAAAAAUCAUACAAGAUCGUCUACGCCUUAUCAUUCAGGAGCAUGUUGGCUGAAGCUUUGGUACUUGGUGAAGUAACUUUUACAUCUCGGGGUUGAAAAACUUUUGCCUGCACAUAGAAAGAUUCGUACUUAGCUUGUACAGAAUUGCGCCGAUCUGCAGUCGAAUUAAACUUACAAAUUAAACUUGUUGCCGAUCUACAGGCGAUUGCACCGAUCUAUCGUCGAUUGCGAGCUAGGCUUCAUGAGCAGAAAUCGCAGAUUUGACUUUGCUGUGUUUGGGUCUAAUUGGGGGCACAAUUGACCUAAAUUUGUAUUAUUGCUGUCCGCUAGGAAUAGAAGGUUAAAAUGUUAUAUGCUAAUAUUUGAUUCAUUGCAAAUAGAUGCUAUGAAUCACUUCAUAUAUAUAUAUGUAUAUAUAUAUAUAUAAGUUUCAAACUUGAACUCAAAUAUCCCUUCAAGAAAUCCAAGAUUAGGACAAUGUUCUGUUCAGUAUAUACAUGAACGACCUCUGUCCACCAUCAAACUAUAGUAUAUACCUAAACACCAUCAUAAUCCUAAACAAAGAAGAAGAAGAAAACCCAAAAAGAAAACAAAA
rnacentral:lncRNA from 1 species